rnacentral:lncRNA from 10 species
GGUGGAGAAAGAAUAGAAGCCUCUUGGAGAAGUUUGUAAUUCUCCCCGGCAGGACGUACCGUGGCAGCAGGAGUGCACUGCGCUGGAGGAGGCCCCAAGACGGUGUGUGCGGGAGGGCGCUGGGUGUGGGGCUGUUCGCAAGCGGUGGAGUGAAAAUCCUGCAUCACGGACUUCAGGAAGAGAUGUUGGGUCCCGGUGGCGAUGGCAGCGUGGAACAGCAGCAGCCCAUCCCCACACCUGAAGCACAAGUAUCUCCCCUCUCCACUGAGAACCAUUUUCAUCACUCAAUAAAAUUCUCCACUUUCACCACCCUUCAACCUUCCAUGUGACCCCAUUCUUCAUGGACACUGGACAAGAGCUCGAGACCCACCCAGUGCAGUGGUGCUGGGCAGCUCCUCCCUCCCUGAGGGCUGUUCUGCCAACCUCACGACACCAUCAUAGAAGACUUCAGAGACUGACUGUUGCAGGUUGAACUGUGUCCUCCAAAAAGAUAUGUUGAGUCCCUAAUCUCCAGUACCUGUGUAUGUGACCCUAUCCGGAAAUAGAGUUUUUGUGGAUGUAAUCAUACUGGAUUUGGAUGAACCCUAAUCGAAGAUGACCAGGGUCCUUCUAAGAAGAGAAUAGAUGCAUGUGCGCGCAAGCGCGCGCGCGCACACACACACACACACACACACACACACACACACACAGAGGACCAUGUGACAGCUGAGAGAUUGGAGUGACGUGUCUGCAAGCAAAAAAUGCCAAGGAUUGCCAGCAACCACCUAUGGUCUCCUCCCCUAGAUCAUCUAGAGAGAACACAGCCAUGCUGACAUCAUCAUUUCAGGCCUCUAUCCUCUGGAACUGCAAUAUAAUAAACUUCUGUAGUUUUAAGCCACUCCAUUUGUGCUACUUUGUUAUAGAAGCACUAGGAACCUAUUACUCUCACCUUUGCUUUUCCCAUUCACUCUACGGACUUUCCUUUUUAAGCUUCCCUCCCCAAACAUUGUCUCUCAUAGGAUUCUCAUCCAUGUAUUUGUGCAUGAACUUCCCCGCAUCUUAUGAAAUAUCUGAGUAAAUGUUUA